rnacentral:rRNA from 1 species
AGCGAACAUUGGCGGUAGGCUUAACACAUGCAAGUCGAGCGAGGCGUAAUAGUCGAGCGGCGAACGGGUGCGUAAUACAUGGGAAUCUACCCUGAAGUGGGGGAUAACGUCCAGAAAUGGACGCUAAUACCGCAUAAUCCACAUUGGGAAAGCGUUGCAGCGCUUUAGGAUGAGCCCAUGGCUGAUUAGCUAGUUGGUGAGGUAAUGGCUCACCAAGGCGACGAUCAGUAGCUGGUCUGAGAGGAUGAUCAGCCACACUGGAACUGAGACACGGUCCAGACUCCUACGGGAGGCAGCAGUGGGGAAUCUUGCGCAAUGGGGGCAACCCUGACGCAGCCAUACCGCGUGAGUGAUGAAGGUCUUCGGAUUGUAAAGCUCUUUCGGCGGGGACGACGAUGACGGUACCCGUAAAAGAAGUCACGGCUAACUUCGUGCCAGCCGCCGCAGUAA